rnacentral:rRNA from 1 species
UACGGGGGGGGCAAGCGUUGUUCGGAAUUACUGGGCGUAAAGGGCUCGUAGGCGGCCAACUAAGUCGGACGUGAAAUCCCUCGGCUUAACCGGGGAACUGCGUCUGAUACUGGAUGGCUUGAAUCCGGGAGAGGGAUGCGGAAUUCCAGGUGUAGCGGUGAAAUGCGUAGAUAUCAGGAGGAACACCGGUGGCGAAGGCGCUGCUCUGGGCCGGUACUGACGCUGAGGAGCGAAAGCGUGGGUAGCAAACAGG